GUCUAAUAUUUGUAGUGGAUUGUGCAGAUCGGGAUCGUAUUGACGAGGCUCGGACAGAACUACAUCGAAUUAUAAAUGAUAGAGAAAUGAGAGAUGCCAUUAUAUUAAUAUUUGCUAAUAAACAAGAUUUAGCGGAAUGCAAUGAAACCUCAUGAGAUUCAAGAAAAAUUAGGCUUAACUAGAAUACGAGAUCGCAACUGGUAUGUGCAACCUUCCUGUGCAACAACUGGUGAUGGCUUAUAUGAAGGCCUUACGUGGCUUACCUCCAAUCAUAAGUUAUGAGAAUAAUUUAAUUGAAACUCAAAAAUAAACAAAACAAAAUAUAUAUUAACCCCCGAUAAAAAAAUCACACAACAAUAUUUAUUGUAUGCAAAUUUUAUUUGAAUUUAAACAAAAGGAGAAAUUCUUGAAAGAAAAAUACAUCUUAACAGAAAAUACAAAAAAGAAAAUCAAAUCUUAAUUAUUAUUUAACAAAAUUCAAGUAAAACAAUUUAGUGAAAACAAAAUAAAAUUAAUAAAUUUAUAAUAAUCCAACACGAAAGAAACAAAGGAAUUCUAAAAAUACCACAAACAUGUUUUUUUAGCAUUUAAGAUAUAUUUGUAAAAUAUUAUUAAAAAAAAAAAAAAACAAAACAAAACGAAAUCACUUAC